GUGAGAGAAGGAGGCGGCGGCGAAUCACUUAUAAAUGGCGCUGAAGCAGGACCCGAAGCCUAAAUUCCAGGAGGGUGAGUGAGUACUGUGCUUUCAUGGGUUUCUUAUUUAUGAUGCAAAGUGUGUAAAGGUUGCCAUAAAGGACAAACAAGUGAAAUACUUUAUACAUUACAGUGGUUGGAAUAAAAAAAGUGCCGUGAGGCUCAGGCACUCUGAAAAAACUUUGAAGACACAUGAGGAUAUUGUAGCCCUUUUUCCUGUUCCUGAAGGAGCUCCCUCAGUACACCACCCCCUCCUGACCUCUAGUUGGGAUGAAUGGGUUCCAGAGAGCAGAGUACUCAAAUAUGUGGAUACCAAUCUGCAGAAACAGCGAGAACUUCAAAACGCCAAUCAGGAGCAGUAUGCAGAGAAGAAGAUGAGAGGGGCUACUCCAGGAAAGAAGACAUCUGGUCUGCAAGAGAAAAAUGUUGAAGUGAAAACAAAGGAGAAUAAGCAGAAAACACCUGGAAAUGGAGAUGGUGGCAGUACCAAUGAGACACCUCAACCUCCUGGGAAGAAAACGGCCUGGGUAGAUACUACUGUUGAAAAUGAAGAAACAUUCAUGACCAGAGUUGAAGUUAAAGAUUCCUGAAGAGCUAAAACUUUGGCUUGUUGAUGACUGAGACUUAAUUACCAGGCAAAAAUAGCUCUUUUAUCUUCCUGCUAAGAAGAAUGUGGAUUCCAUUCUGGAAGAUUAUACAGAUUACAAGAAAUCUCUGGAAACACAGAUAAUAAGGAGUAUGCUGUUAAUGAAGUUGUGGCAGGGAUAAAAGAAUACUUCAAUGUAAUGUUAGCUCCUGUACAAAUUUGAGAGACUGCAGUAUGCUGAAAUUCUUGCAGAUCACCCUGAUGCACCCAUGUCCCAAGUAUAUGGAGAACCACAUCUACUGAGAUUAUUUGUACGAAUUAGAGCAAUGUUGGCCUAUACACCUUUGGAUGAGAAAAGCCUUGCUUUAUUACUGAACUAUCUUCAUGAUUUCCUAAAGUAUCUGGCAAAGAAUUCUGCAACCUUGUUUAGUGCCAGCGAUUACGAAGUGGCUCCUCCUGAGUACCAUCGGAAAGCUGUCUGAGAGUUGGUCUCACUCAUAUAUGUUUGGAUCUCUGUAAACACAUUUUUGUACUUAGUCUUUCUCUUGUACAAAUGAUGUACUUUGAAGAUGUUAGUGUAUAACAAAAUUGAUGUUUGUUUUCUGUUUGAUUUUAAACAGAAGAAAAUAAAAGGGGUUAUUUUCUCAAAAAAAAAAA